UACGAAGGGUGCAAACGUUGCUCGGAAUUAUUGGGCGUAAAGCGCACGUAGGCGGCUUGGCAAGUCGGAUGUGAAAGCCCUCGGCUCAACCAAGGAAGUGCAACCGAAACUGCUGAGCUUGAGUACUUAAGAGGAUCGCGGAAUUCCCGGUGUAGAGGUGAAAUUCGUAGAUAUCGGGAGGAACACCAGUGGCGAAGGCGGCGAUCUGGGAAGAUACUGACGCUGAGGUGCGAAAGCGUGGGGAGCGAACAGG
rnacentral:rRNA from 1 species